CCUACGGGAGGCAGCAGUGGGGAAUAUUGCGCAAUGGGCGCAAGCUUGAUGCAGCCAUGCCGCGUGUAUGAAGAAGGCCUUCGGGUUGUAAAGUACUUUCAGCGGGGAGGAAGGGAGUAAAGUUAAUACCUGUGGUCAAUGACGGUACCCGCAGAAGAAGCCCCGGCCGG
rnacentral:rRNA from 1 species